CCUACGGGAGGCAGCAGUGGGGAAUAUUGCACAAUGGGCGCAAGCCUGAUGCAGCGACGCCGCGUGAGGGAUGACGGCCUUCGGGUUGUAAACCUCUGUUAGCAGGGAAGAAGAGAGAUUGACGGUACCUGCAGAGAAAGCGCCGGCUAACUACGUGCCAGCAGCCGCGGUAAUACGUAGGGCGCGAGCGUUGUCCGGAAUUAUUGGGCGUAAAGAGCUUGUAGGCGGUUUGUCGCGUCUGCUGUGAAAGGCCGGGGCUUAACUCCGUGUAUUGCAGUGGGUACGGGCAGACUAGAGUGCAGUAGGGGAGACUGGAAUUCCUGGUGUAGCGGUGGAAUGCGCAGAUAUCAGGAGGAACACCGAUGGCGAAGGCAGGUCUCUGGGCUGUAACUGACGCUGAGAAGCGAAAGCAUGGGGAGCGAACAGGAUUAGAUACCCUGGUAGUCCAUGCCGUAAACGUUGGGCACUAGGUGUGGGGGACAUUCCACGUUUUCCGCGCCGUAGCUAACGCAUUAAGUGCCCCGCCUGGGGAGUACGGCCGCAAGGCUAAAACUCAAAGAAAUUGACGGGGGCCCGCACAAGCGGCGGAGCAUGCGGAUUAAUUCGAUGCAACGCGAAGAACCUUACCAAGGCUUGACAUAUACUGGAUCGCAUCAGAGAUGGUGUUUCCCUUCGGGGCUGGUAUACAGGUGGUGCAUGGUUGUCGUCAGCUCGUGUCGUGAGAUGUUGGGUUAAGUCCC
rnacentral:rRNA from 1 species